rnacentral:rRNA from 1 species
UACGGAGGGUGCAAGCGUUAUCCGGAUUCACUGGGUUUAAAGGGUGCGUAGGUGGGCAGGUAAGUCAGUGGUGAAAUCUCCGGGCUUAACUCGGAAACUGCCAUUGAUACUAUCUGUCUUGAAUACCGUGGAGGUUAGUGGAAUAUGUCAUGUAGCGGUGAAAUGCUUAGAUAUGACAUAGAACACCAAUUGCGAAGGCAGCUGGCUACACGAAUAUUGACACUGAUGCACGAAAGCGUGGGGAUCAAACAGG